rnacentral:rRNA from 1 species
CCAAUAGCGUAUAUUAAAGUUGUUGCAGUUAAAAAGCUCGUAGUUGAAUUUCGGGGUUAGUAGGUUGGUCGUGCCACUGGUAUGUACUGGUUCUACUGAUCCCUCCUUCUUGUAGAACCGUAAUGCCAUUAACUUGGUGUUGCGGGGAAACAGGACUGUUACUUUGAAAAAAUUAGAGUGUUUAAAGCGGGCUAACGCUUGAAUACAUUAGCAUGGAAUAAUGAAAUAGGACGUUCGAUCCUAUUUUGUUGGUUUCUAGGAUUGACGUAAUGAUUAAUAGGGAUAGUUGGGGGCAUUAGUAUUCAAUUGUCAGAGGUGAAAUUCUUGGAUUUAUUGAAGACUAACUACUGCGAAAGCAUUUGCCAAGGAUGUUUUCAUUAAUCAAGAACGAAAGUUAGGGGAUCGAAGACGAUCAGAUACCGUCGUAGUCUUAACCAUAAACUAUGCCGACUAGGGAUCGGAUGAUGUUAAUUUUUUAAUGACUCAUUCGGCGCCUUACG